AUGCUCCCCCUCUCUGGGAAGUGCCUGGGUGCCACAUCCCUGGAUUUGGAGGAGUUUAUUUGGGAUUUCUGCAGAGGACACUGGGGGAAGCUGACUGACAGUGGUCUCCUUGUGCUUUCUGUGCAGAGGAGCCGAGGCUGGCUGUGCUGGGCACGUCACCACUUGAGCAUUCCCAGGCUCCAAUGCCUCCGCAGAUCCCGAUGUCGGAGCGGCCCUGGACCUGCAGAACGGUGGUAUUUUUGUUUUGAUGACUUGAGGCCUGAGGAGGCUCAAGGUGUUUGUCAGCUCCUGUGGGGUGGGAAGCUGCUCUGCAGGGCCCUGCUGGGUGCCCUCAAUGCCCACCCAGCCACUGGUUCUCCCUUUGCUCCUCCAGCCCAGCCCUGACCCAGAAAAACCUGCUGAGAGUGGCAGAGCCAGGAGAAUUUGUUUCCCAGCCAGCCCCUGAUGGGAUUAGGAAGAACUCCUGGAUAAUUCUCCAUUAGAUCUGGUGGUUGAUUUCCUUCCUCCUUACCCCCAGCUCUGUCCUGCUCUCCCCUGUUUCAGCUGGAUUAUUUAUUCUCAUGCUUGGCUUGCUAAUUGCCUGAUCACCAGAGCUGAGGCUUGGGCACAUCCCUGGCCUCCUUUGACCCUCCAGCUUCUGCCUCUUUGUUUUUGUCUCAGCUCUGAUUUCAUCCCCUCCACUCCCCAGCAUAAGCCAGGAUCUUUCUGCUGCUCUGUGCAGAGGGAGAAACCUGCUGGUGUCACCCAGGAGCCAGGGAAGGUCCAAGGGAUGCUCCUGAAGCUCCUCCCCAUCACCUCUAUCCUCCCCAUGCCCCCCUGUCUUUUUUGGGGUUUUUCCAAGCUCAGUGUGGCUCCAACCCCACUGGUUUUGCAGACUCAAGGCAAGGGAUAAAAUAAAGCUGCAGGAACCACAGGUUUGUUUUCGGAGGGUGCACAGGCCACCUUUGGUUCUCAUUUCAGUGCCCCUGGGAGCUGUGCUGUGCUCUGAGAUUGGAUUGGAUUCCCUGACUACCCAUUUGGGCAUCAAACUGUGCUCUGCCAGCUCUGAGCAAUGCCAGGACAUCCCCCUGGGGAUCCCCAGCGUCCCUGGUGCUGUGACCAGUGUGGGAGGUGUUACCAGUGAGGAGCUGAGCAUGGAGCAGACCUCAGGGACCCUCAUUUUUUGUUCUUUUCAGCCUAAAAUCAUAUGGGGUGAGGGGUGUUUUUGGAAGGUGUAGCUCAGGGCCCAGGGUUUCCAGCAGGGAAGAAGGAGCAGACGUCUGGACAGGCUUUGGCACAGGACUGGGGUCUGGGCUCCUCUCAGCUCUGGAGGAGCUCUGUCCUGGGGCAGCUCUGGCUGCAGUUUUCCCGUCCCCGUGGGCAGAGCUUAGAGCCAGGGAAUUGUUUGCAUCAGCACCCAGAGUGCUCCAUCCUCUGCUCCUGCAGCCCAGGGAGCCUCAAGUCCAUGGAGCUGCUGGAUCCAGGAGUUCCUGCUCCUGGGAAUCGAGAUCUCACCCAGGUCACAGCCCAGGACAGGGAAGCACACGGAGCUUGUCCUGAUGGAGAGCCCAGCAGCAAUCCUGGCCAGCUGUCAGUGAGCUGGGAAACACCCCAGGGAUGCUUGGACACCCCAGCCCAGCCCAGCCCAGCCCCGAGCCAGGGCUGAGCAGGGUGACAGUGUCUGUGAGGAGGCUGGCACAGCCCAGCAGGGCUGGCAUUGCCUGCCCUGGCAUGGAGCCGGGCUGGGGGCACAGCCAGGCAGCCAGGAUGGCGUGGGGACAGCGGGCUGCCAGGCAGGGCUGGCAGUGGAGAGCGGGUGUUCCCACCUGCAUUUGGCUCUGCUGGUGUUGGUAGGAGCCCUCUCCCGCCUCAUGCCAAGUUUGGGAUUGUCCUGGUUUGGGGGGGGGGGGGGGGGGGGGGGGGGGGGGGG
ensembl:lncRNA